AUUUUGUUGGCGUGCGGCUACCUAACGGCCCCGGUUUGGAGAGGCAAACAGACUAACAGCUGCCCUACUACAACUCAUUCAGAGUCUAGUCUGCGAAAGAAGUAUGAAGAUUGUUGUUUGUUCUCUCUUGACCAUCUUCGCCAUUGGCAAAUCUAGCAUCUUGCUUCAGCAAGACAACGAGAUGACGAUGGGAAUUGGUCAGAAAGGCUGCGAGGCAUUCAACGGAACCAAUUUCGACCUCGUGAAGCCCGAGAAGAAGUGUGCCGACGGUUUGGUGUGCCGAGACGGCGUAUGUGUUCGCAAUCACCAUUGUAUGCUUGAAGGAGCUGAAUGUUGCUGUCUUUGCCGAUGUCUUCCUUCUUGUGGCGACUGCUGCAACACACCAAAAGACUGCCAAGAUGAGGAGUGGAGUUGCAAGACUACAUGCGGCUAGCAGUGGCGUCAACGCCAAAUGGCAUCAUGACAAUUCAAAACUGUUAGAUGAACAAAUUGAUUAUCCUCGAAACAGUCUGAUACACGAGGGUAGAGUGUUAUAGCUUGUAGCCUAGGUAGUUGCACGAUUAGCUAGGAGAUGUAGACUUUUACGAUGUUGAGGGUUGCUGUCUAAGACUACAGCUAAGCGCAACGAAUAUACGCAUCGAGUUGAUGCAUAAUGGGUGGCA